AAGAAUAAACAUAAGAAGCUGCUAACUAUCUUUUAAGUGUUAACUCACUUUAUUCUUA
rnacentral:tRNA from 1 species